GAUGAACGCUAGCGGGAGGCUUAACACAUGCAAGUCGAGCGGGAUUAGCAGCAAUGCUAUGAGAGCGGCGCACGGGUGCGUAACGCGUAUGCAACCUGCCUUAUACAGGGGAAUAGCCCAUGGAAACGUGGAUUAAUGUCCCAUAGGAUUACGGAUUCGCAUGGAUUUGUGAUUAAAACUGAGGUGGUAUAAGAUGGGCAUGCGUCUGAUUAGGUAGUUGGUAGGGUAAUGGCCUACCAAGCCGACGAUCAGUAGGGGUUCUGAGAGGAUUACCCCCCACACUGGUACUGAGACACGGACCAGACUCCUACGGGAGGCAGCAGUGAGGAAUAUUGGUCAAUGGCCGGAAGGCUGAACCAGCCAUCCCGCGUGCAGGAUGACGGCCCUAUGGGUUGUAAACUGCUUUUGUACCUGAAGAAACCUGUUUACGAGUAGACAGUUGCCAGUAAGGUAUGAAUAAGCAUCGGCUAACUCCGUGCCAGCA
rnacentral:rRNA from 1 species